UCAUCUGCAAGUAUGUGCAAGUGUUCUUUCACAGAAAUUAUCAUCGUGAUCUUUUUGUCUGGUGCAAGGACAUGUUCCUCAAAGAAAGCAGAUAAGGUCAGAACGCAUGCUGCCGAAAGGGAGAGGGUCGAUCAAAGGAGGAAGACCACCCACGUGACACACAGGUGCAGGACAUGGUUCAACUCCUGUGAAGCACAGCAGCUCUGGAAGCUUCGUCCUCUUGAGGGGGGAGAAAAGAGACCUGGAAUGAAACUAUUCUCCAGGAACCAGGGACCAGAAGAAUUCUAUUUCCAGCUACUCGGUGGAGGAGCUUCGAGAAGCCAGAAGUCCUCAGAGGCUGUGUUAGUCAGGGUAGACUAGAAAAACAAAUUCAUAGACACACUCAU